CCUGGAGUGUUGAGUUCAAGAAGCUGGAAUCUUCGCCUCUCUUUAGUAUUAGCAUUCUUCUGUCUUUCCAGCAAUGCAAUCCUGUGGUAUCUUGCAUUUCAACAUUUUUUUCCUUAACGCUAGGCAAUACUGAUGUCAAGUUUCAACAGACGACAGAGGAAUAAAGUUGGUGAGAAAGCAUAUGAUUUUGGGCUGGACACGAGAACUCUUUACAAGCAAUUUGAGGAAGGUCUAUAUUUAUCCAAAACAAGCUAACAAGUCCUACCAAGCUGUCACUCU
rnacentral:lncRNA from 12 species